UGAAGCAGAGGUAAGACUCUGUGGAGGGCCGAACCCACUUCGGUUGAAAACGGAGGGGAUGACCUGUGGAUAGGGGUGAAAGGCCAAUCAAACUCGGAGAUAUCUCGUUCUCCCCGAAAUAGCUUUAGGGCUAGCCUCGAAUCGUUUACUUGCGGUGGUAGAGCACUGGAUUUGUGCGGGGGCUUCACCGCCUACCAACCAAAACCAAACUCCGAAUGCCGUAAGUCUAGAGAUCGGGAGUCAGAACAUGUGGGCUAAGCCGUGUGUUCGAGAGGGAAACAGCCCAGACCGCCUGCUAAGGUCCCUAAAUUCGUGCUAAGUGGCAAAGGAUGUGCGUUUGCCUAGACAACCAGGAUGUUGGCUUAGAAGCAGCCAUGCAUUUAAAGAGUGCGUAACAGCUCACUGGUCAAGUGGACAUGCGCCGACAAUACACGGGGCUAAGUACGAUACCGAAGCAGCGGACUGAUUUAUCAGUGGUAGGGGAGCUUUCUUAUCUGGGUUGAAGCGAAGUGGUAACGCUUCGUGGACUGAUAAGAAGUGAGAAUGCUGGCAUGAGUAACGAGAGAGGAGCGAGAAACUCCUCCGCCGUAAACCUAAGGGUUCCUGGGCAAGGCUAAUCCUCCCAGGGUCAGUCGGGAGCUAAGGCGAGGCAGACAUGCGUAGCCGAUGCACAACAGGUUGAUAUUCCUGUACCACCACGUAUUCGUUAUGACGAUGGGGUGACGGAGAAGGGUAGCCGGGCGGGGUUCUGGACGUCCCCGUGAAAGCGUGUAGGGUGAUAAGUAGGCAAAUCCGCUUGUCAUAUACCUGAGACGUUAGACGAAGCUCUAAGUGAAGUCGGUAAGCCCAUGCUUCCAAGAAAAACCUCUAAGCAGAAUGCGAGGUGCCCGUACCAAAACCGACACAGGUAGGUGGGUAGAGCAUACCAAGGCGAUCGGGAGAACCAUGGUUAAGGAACUCGGCAUAAUGACUCCGUAACUUCGGGAGAAGGAGUGCCCUUGUUGGUGACUAAACUUGCUUUACGAGCUGAUGAGGGUCGCAGCGAAACGGCCCAAGCGACUGUUUAUCAAAAACACAGGACUCUGCUAAGUCGCAAGACGACGUAUAGGGUCUGACGCCUGCCCGGUGCUGGAAGGUUACGUGGAUGUGUUAGCAUCUCGCGAAGCACUGAAACUAAGCCCCAGUAAACGGCGGCCGUAACUAUAACGGUCCUAAGGUAGCGAAAUUCCUUGUCGGGUAAGUUCCGACCUGCACGAAUGGCGUAACGAUUUGGGCGCUGUCUCGACCAUGGACCCGGUGAAAUUGUAUUAUUCGUGAAGAUGCGAAUUACCUGCGGAAGGACGGAAAGACCCCGUGAACCUUUACUGCAGCUUGGCAUUGGCUGUUGGC
rnacentral:rRNA from 1 species